AUGUUUCAACAAAAUGAUAUAUGUUGCCACUCUUUGGAAGGUACUUGUGCCACAUGGUGCGGGGACGUGGAGGUGCCGUACCCGUUCGGCAUUGGCCCAUCCGAGUGCUACUGGCCAGGGUUCAACCUCACAUGCAACAGAGACCAUGACCCUCCACUGCUGCUCCUGGGCAACCCCGACCUCCGAGUCGUCAAUAUCUCCCUUGCCAACUCCACGGUGCGCAUUGUCCGAACCAACGCCCUCAUAAGACGUGGCGACAAUUCAACGUCGGCAACGCCUUGGUACUGGCCCUUGAUCGGUAACCCAUUUCUUUUCUACGGAGAGGAACCUUACUCCUUGUCCACCAGCAACGAGCUCGUGGUCACGGGGUGCAACACGCAGGCGAUGCUAUUUGGGCACGGUGACCCAGCCAUCAUCAGCGGAUGCGCCUCCUUCUGCUCCCACAACGACACCCACAUCACCUUUGGUAGCGGCAAAUACUGCUACGGCAUGGGGUGCUGCCAGGCGCGUAUCACCGAAUCCAUUGAUGGAAUGCCCAAGGAGCUGCUUUUCAAAUGGUUGGACGCCUACGUCGCUGAAGACUUGAUACCAUUGCCAGCCUUCGUGUUUAUCGCAGAGGAAGGAUGGUUUGACCAGAAGAGUGUCGCCGGCAAACUGAUGCGGAAAGAUCGGGAACUGACUUCGGCAGCUGCUAUGGAGGUUCCCAUUCUUCUUAGGUGGGAAGUCCUGCAUAAUGGCUUAUCACCCAAAGUGAGCUCACGUCCGGACUGCGACCUCUGCAAGAGCAAGCACAGCCAGUGCAAACUUGGGAACAGAGGCUAUACCUGCCACUGCAACGACGACGACGGAGGCAACCCAUACGUCCCCAACGGAUGCAAAGGUUCCAGCAUCAUUAUCGGAGUUGGUAGUGGGGCAGGCCUCAUACUUCUGGUCCUCCUUGCAUACUUUAUUUCCUACAAACUGAAGCAUCAAAGGGCACAAAUGUUGAAACAGAGAGAGGAUGAUCAUAACAUUGAAGAGCUAGAGAAGGCAACAAACAAUUUUGAUAAAGCUCGUGAACUCGGUGGUGGCGGGCAUGGUACUGUAUAUGAAGGGAUUUUGUCAGACCUCCAUGUUGUAGCCAUCAAGAAACCAAAGAUGGUUGUUCGAAGGGAGAUUGACGAAUUUAUUAAUGAGGUUGCUAUCCUAUCACAAAUCAACCAUAGGAAUGUAGUAAAACUAUAUGGUUGUUGCCUUGAAACAGAAGUGCCAUUGUUGGUCUAUGAGUUCAUAUCCAAUGGAACACUCUAUGAUCAUCUUCAUGUCCAAGGACCAAGAUCACUAUCAUGGGAUGAUAGGCUACGGAUAGCAACAGAAACUGCAAAAUCUCUUGCCCAUCUUCACUCAACGGCUUUAGUACCUAUCAUCCAUAGAGAUGUCAAGCCUGCUAACAUCCUUUUGGAUGAUACUCUAACAGCAAAGGUAGCGGAUUUUGGAGCUUCAAGGUACAUUCCAUUGGACAGAUCAGGUCUAACAACAAAUGUGCAAGGUACACUAGGAUAUCUGGACCCGAUGUACAUGCACACAUGGCGCCUCACGGAGAAGAGUGAUGUUUAUAGCUUUGGUGUUAUGCUUAUAGAGUUGAUGACUAGAAAGAAGCCAUUUACCUAUAUGGCUCCCGAAGGCAAUGGUCUUGUGGCACAUUUUGCUAUCUUAUUUGCCGGAGGUAAUUUGUCAGAGAUAUUAGAUCCACAACUUCUGAGCGAGGGUGGCGACAGAAUUGAUGAAAUCGCUGCAAUUGCGGUAGCAUGUGUAAAAUUAAGAGGCGAGGAAAGGCCAACCAUGAGACAGGUGGAAUUGCGGUUGGAAGUUGCUCAAUCCCCUAAGGAAUUCGAGGCGGAUGGUGAUAUUGCAGCAAAUUCUCAGUUAGCAUGUGGACCGGGAUUGACUAGCAGGCAGUAUAGUAUGGAAGAAGAAUAUGUGUUGUCUGCAAGAUAUCCACGGUAG
rnacentral:rRNA from 1 species